AUUGAACGCUGGCGGCAUGCUUUACACAUGCAAGUCGAGCGGCAGCGCGGGGGCAACCCUGGCGGCGAGCGGCGAACGGGUGAGUAAUGCAUCGGAACGUAUCCCGCAGUGGGGGACAACCCAGCGAAAGCUGGGCUGAUACCGCAUAUGCCCUGUGGAGGAAAGUGGGGGACCGCAAGGCCUCACGCUGGGGGAGCGGCCGAUGUCCGAUUAGCUGGUUGGUGGGGUAACGGCUUACCAUGGCUACGAUGGGUAGGGGUCCUGAGAGGGAGAUCCCCCACACUGGUACUGAGACACGGACCAGACUCCUACGGGAGGCAGUAGUGAGGAAUAUUGGACAAUGGGCGCAAGCCUGAUCCAGCCAUGCCGCGUGCAGGAAGAAGGUCCUAUGGAUUGUAAACUGCUUUUAUACAGGAAGAAACACACCCUCGUGAGGGUACUUGACGGUACUGUAUGAAUAAGGACCGGCUAACUCCGUGCCAGCCGCCGCGUAAUAC
rnacentral:rRNA from 1 species